CAUGCCGUAAACGAUGAGUGCUAAGUGUUAGGGGGUUUCCGCCCCUUAGUGCUGCAGCUAACGCAUUAAGCACUCCGCCUGGGGAGUACGACCGCAAGGUUGAAACUCAAAGGAAUUGACGGGGGCCCGCACAAGCAGUGGAGUAUGUGGUUUAAUUCGAAGCAACGCGAAAAACCUUACCAGGUCUUGACAUCCAACGACCGCCUAAGAGAUUAGGCUUUCCUUCGGGACGUUGAGACAGGUGG
rnacentral:rRNA from 1 species